rnacentral:rRNA from 1 species
GCAUCGAUGAAGAACGCAGCCAGUUGCGAUAAGUAAUGUGAAUUGCAGAAUUCAGUGAAUCAUCGAAUCUUUGAACGCAAAUUGCGCUCUUUGGAUACCCAGGGAGCACGUUUGUCUGAGUGUCGUUUAAAUUUCUACACACUUUGGUGUGGUGUGAAGGCUCGGGUCAGUUAUUCUUCGGAAUUUAACCGACCCGUCCUUUUGAGACUCUGAACCUAGCAACAUUUGAUUCAAUUGGUGCUUGGAAGGCUCAACUUGCUUCUGUCCUUCUUUUUAUCAAUUGUCAUAUGUUAACAGCGUUCUCUGGCCUAACGGCCAAAUUCUUAUUUUUUGACCUCAGAUCAAGCGAGACUACCCGCUGAGUUUAAGCAUAUCAAUAAGCGGAGGA